GUUAAUAUAGCUUAAUCAUUCAAAGCAAGACACUGAAAAUGUCUAGAUGGGUUCACACAACCCUAUAAACA
rnacentral:tRNA from 1 species